rnacentral:rRNA from 1 species
AUCCUACGGGAGGCAGCAGUGAGGAAUAUUGGUCAAUGGUCGGGAGACUGAACCAGCCAAGCCGCGUGAGGGAUGAAGGUACAAAGUAUCGUAAACCUCUUUUGUCAGGGAACAAAGGCGGGGACGCGUCCCCGGAUGAGUGUACCUGAAGAAAAAGCAUCGGCUAACUCCGUGCCAGCAGCCGCGGUAAUACGGAGGAUGCGAGCGUUAUCCGGAUUUAUUGGGGUUAAAGGGGGCGCAGGCGGGCUGUUAAGUAAGCGGUCAAA